rnacentral:lncRNA from 1 species
CUGGAAGAGUUGUAAAAUUUCCAAAAAAAAAUUGUGUUUCCAAGCACUAUGGAGGACUGCUUAAAAAGCAGAACUAGAUGUGCUGAAUAAAAUAUAACAAAUAUCCUUUAAGUGCAAUUCUAAACUUCUAGAAAUUAAGGAAAAUCCCCAGAGAUAAAGUAAAGAGCCAAUUAAAAACCUGAAGAGUGACACCUGACUAGGUCCAGAGUGAAGGGAAAAGAGACAGAUGAUAAGUGAACCUUAAUCUCAAACUGGUAAUACCCACAUGACUCUUGGCCAAACCAACAGGGAAUCUUGUUGGAGGAACAAAGUCCAUAGGACUUUUAAGCAAAUACCCAUAUUACUCAUAUUUCUAUCAUUGGUACUCUGAAGAAAUGUGUAGUCUCAGAAACAUUUUAUGAAUUGCUCUUUAAUUCUGGUUUGAAUCCUUUGCCUUUUUAUACAAUGAUGCAUAAUGUUUUUGACUCCCUGCUUUCCUGAACUAUGAUUGUUCAACAAAAUAAAGAUAAUUUAGGAGUGGACAGAGUUAUGCAGGGAUUUCCUGAAUGACAACAACAAAAAAAGUCAUUUUCUCUCCACUGCUUAUUUUCAAAAUGUGUCCUUAAAUUUCAAUUUUUGUCAUUAUCAUUGGCAAUGCUUAUCUAUAUUGACCUUUACUAUCCUUUUUAACAUCUUAAAAGCUUCAAUCGUGUCUCUGCUCUUCAAUGUUUUUUCUUCAACUAUUGUAAUCUCAGUUUUUCUAGCUCUCCAAGUAAUAUAACUUCCUUUCUCAUUUAUCAUUCCGGCCCCAUCAAUCCCUUCUGCCUCCUCAAUGUCUUUCCUGAAACAUUUUUCCUUUCCUUACAGAGGGAGAUUGUCUCAAAUGGUAAGUCACUGAGUGUAUUUAAUCAGCCACCAUUACAGUGUCUGGCUUCCCAAGACAUGUUUGUAGCCUAUUUCAUAAAUUUAUUGUUCUUAAAAGCAAACCUAAUUUCACAAUGAAACUACCCAAUCUCCUUUUCAUCAAAAACCAGGGUAAAAUAUGUCUUUGGUAUAAACAAUACUGUUCAGCUGCUGUGAUCUAAUUGGGGUUAGUUUACACUGUGUUCUCUAAAAUCAUUCCUCUUGAACUUAGAACAGGUAUUGCUUUGAUCCUUCUUUAGUCCCCUUUUGUCCUCAAUUUCUUCUCUCUUUUAUCUAUCCUCCACUCAUUACAGUGGGCACAUUCCUGUUACCUAAAGCAUGUCCACUGCCCUCGUAUACUGUACAUAAUAAUCAUUGUGCAGUGUUUGUAUGCCUUAUCCUUGAUUCUUGGAACAACUCUAUCAAAGAGGCAGAAUGGCUACUAACACCCAAAAGAGGAAGCUCCAUCAAAGGCUGAAUGUUUUGCCUAAUAUUGGAUAAUAGGUUACCCAAGAGCCAAAAAGAAAUGUGAAAUCUCCCCACUAAACCAAAAACUUGAAAGUGAGAGCUAUUUUGAUAUCUCAGUUGAAUAGGGAGUGGGUAUUCAAAGGUCCUUGGUAAAGUUGAGAGGUUACCUUUAUGAGACUCCAGGGUCAUCUAGCUUUGCAUAUAUUUACAUAAUCAUGUCAAAGUCUCUGUUACUCAUGUACACAAGUUGAAAUGUUAUAAAGGUACUAAGGUGUACAUGAUUCUCCUAAGAGCUGCCUUUGGCCAUGUCCAAGAACAUUUCUCAUUGUCUGAAACUCAAAUGAUCAUAUUUCUACUUUCUCUAAGAUCCUCAUUUAUCAGUCUUCCUUUCCUUUUCUUCCUAGCUUCAGUGAUCUAUGCUAUCAAUUUAUAUAUUUAUACAUUUAAAUUGAAUACUUAAGCAAGAUAAAAGUCCUUGAAAGAAGUGGUAUAAAAUUAAUGUUGAAUUGAGUUGGGGGUUGCUGGGAAUAAUAGGAAGAAGAGAAUUUUGUCUAAGUUACUUUCCUAAAUCUGAACUAGAUGUAUGACAUACACUUCUCAAUACGCCCGUUCUCUUAUAACACUCCUCACGGUGAUGCAGAACUCCUUUACCUAUUUUACAAGAAUCAAAAAGAGACUUGAGGAGUUCCCACUGUGGCGCAGUGGUUAAUGAAUCCGACUAGGAACCAUGAGGUUGCGGGUUCGAUCCCUGGUCUUGCUCAGUGGGUUGAGGACCCGACGUUGCUGUGAGCUGUGGUGUAGGUUGCAGACGUGGCUCGGAUCUGGCGUUGCUGUGGCCCUGGCGUAGGCCGGUGGGUACAGCUCCAAUUAGACCCCUAGACUGGGAACCUCCAUAUGCCGUGGGAGCGGCCCUAGAAAAGGCAAAAAGACAAAAAAAAAAAAAAAA